rnacentral:rRNA from 1 species
ACGGAAGGCAGCAGUGAGGAAUAUUGGUCAAUGGAGGCAACUCUGAACCAGCCAUCUCGCGUGAAGGAAUACGGCCCUACGGGUCUUAAACUUCUUUUAUAGGGGGAUAAAGUGAGCCACGUGUGGCUUUUUGUAGGUACCCUAUGAAUAAGCAUCGGCUAACUCCGUGCCAGCAGCCGCGGUAAUACGGAGGAUGCGAGCGUUAUCCGGAUUUAUUGGGUUUAAAGGGUGCGCAGGCGGCACGUUAAGUCAGCGGUGAAAUGUCGGGGCUCAACCCGGGCACUGCCGUUGAAACUGGCGAGCUCGAGUUCGGAUGAAGUCGGCGGAAUGUGAUGUAUAGCGGUGAAAUGCUUAGAUAUGUCACAGAACACCGAUUGCGAAGGCAGCUGACUAAUCCGCAACUGACGCUCAGGCACGAAAGCGUGGGGAUCGAACAGGAUUAGAUACCCUGGUA